UACGGAGGGGGCUAGCGUUGCUCGGAAUCACUGGGCGUAAAGCGCACGUAGGCGGACUCUUAAGUCGGUGGUGAAAUCCUGGAGCUCAACUCCAGAACUGCCUUCGAUACUGAGAGUCUCGAGUCCGAGAGAGGUGAGUGGAACUGCGAGUGUAGAGGUGAAAUUCGUAGAUAUUCGCAAGAACACCAGUGGCGAAGGCGGCUCACUGGCUCGGUACUGACGCUGAGGUGCGAAAGCGUGGGGAGCAAACAGG
rnacentral:rRNA from 1 species